UACGAAGGGGGCUAGCGUUGCUCGGAAUCACUGGGCGUAAAGGGUGCGUAGGCGGGUCUUUAAGUCAGGGGUGAAAUCCUGGAGCUCAACUCCAGAACUGCCUUUGAUACUGAAGAUCUUGAGUUCGGGAGAGGUGAGUGGAACUGCGAGUGUAGAGGUGAAAUUCGUAGAUAUUCGCAAGAACACCAGUGGCGAAGGCGCUCACUGGCCCGAUACUGACGCUGAGGCACGAAAGCGU
rnacentral:rRNA from 1 species